rfam:Schistosoma haematobium scaffold336_8, whole genome shotgun sequence.
AUCUAGAUGACGAGUUCUAAAUAGAACGAAACGUGCGUCCUUAAU